rnacentral:misc_RNA from 1 species
UCUCCGUUGGUGAACCAGCGGAGGGAUCAUUACAGAGUUCCACACCUCCCAACCCCUGCGAACCGCACACCAGUUUUUUCUCGUUCCCUCCCGGCCGCGCGCCCCCCGCCCCACCCCCGGCGCCCCCCCCAGCCCCGGCACGCCCCCUGUACUUUUUUUUUUCUCCCAGUCGCUCAGACCAAACUAACAAAUAAAUCAAAACAUUCAACCACGGAGCUCUUGCUUCUGGCAUCGAUGAAGCACGCAGCAAAUCGGAAGAGCUCACGUCCGAACUACACU